rnacentral:rRNA from 1 species
UACGUAGGGGGCUAGCGUUGUCCGGAAUCAUUGGGCGUAAAGCGCGUGUAGGCGGUCCGGUAAGUCCGCUGUGAAAGUCGGGGGCUCAACCCUCGAAUGCCGGUGGAUACUGUCGGGCUAGAGUGCGGAAGAGGCGAGUGGAAUUCCUGGUGUAGCGGUGAAAUGCGCAGAUAUCAGGAGGAACACCAAUUGCGAAGGCAGCUCGCUGGGACGUUACUGACGCUGAGACGCGAAAGCGUGGGGACCAAACAGG